rnacentral:ncRNA from 2 species
AACUUAUCCAGAAAGACUGAGGGAUUAGGCCCUGCGAAGUCUUGGCAACCGCAAAAUUUAUUCUAAAAUAUUGUUGGUGCUAAUUCCUACACUGCCCCAAAAAAGCAGAGAAAGAUAAGUU